rnacentral:rRNA from 1 species
GAUGAACGCUGGCGGCGUGCCUAAUACAUGCAAGUCGAACGGUGUAGAUAAUUUAUUAUUUACAUAGUGGCGAACGGGUGAGUAACGCGUUGGUGACCUGCCCUAAAGCGGGGGACAACAGUUCGAAAGGGCUGCUAAUACCCCAUGUGGUUGUACGGGCUUAGAAGCGUACAACUAAAGGAGAUAUCCGUGAGGGUAAAUUCGCUUUAGGAGGGGCCUGCGUCCCAUCAGCUAGUUGGUAGGGUAAAAGCCUACCAAGGCGAAGACGGGUAGGGGACCUGAGAGGGUGGCCCCCCACAAUGGAACUGAAACACGGUCCAUACACCUACGGGUGGCAGCAGUAGGGAAUAUUGCACCAUGGACGAAAGUCUGAUGCAGCAACGCCGCGUGAGUGAUGAAGGCCUUCGGGUCGUAAAACUCUUUUCAAGGGGAAGAGGAAGGACGGUACCCUUGGAAUAAGCAUCGGCUAACUACGUG